ACUCCUACGGGAGGCAGCAGUGGGAAUAUUGCACAAUGGGCGCAAGCCUGAUGCAGCCAUGCCGCGUGUAUGAAGAAGGCCUUCGGGUUGUAAAGUACUUUCAGCAGUGAGGAAGGUAGUGUAGUUAAAUAGCUGCAUUAUUUGACGUUAGCUGCAGAAGAAGCACUGGCUAACUCCGUGCCAGCAGCCGCGGUAAAUACGGAGGGGGUUAGCGUUGUUCGGAAUUACUGGGCGUAAAGCGCACGUAGGCGGAUCGGAAAGUUGGGGUGAAAUCCCGGGGCUCAACCCCGAACGGGCAUCCAAAAACUAUCGGUCUAGAGUUCGAGAGAGGUGAGUGAAUUCCGAGUGUAGAGGUGAAAUUCGUAGAUAUUCGGAGGAACACCAGUGGCGAAGGCGGCUCACUGGCUCGAUACUGACGCUGAGGUGCG
rnacentral:rRNA from 1 species